rnacentral:rRNA from 1 species
ACUGCCCCGUACCGCAAACCGACACAGGUAGUCAAGGAGAGAAUCCUAAGGUGCUCGAGUGAAUCAUGGCUAAGGAACUAGGCAAAAUGGUCUCGUAACUUCGGGAGAAGAGACGCCAACAGCAAUGUUGGCCGCAGUAAAUAGGCCCAGGCAACUGUUUAUCAAAAACACAUGGCUUUGCAAAAUCGAAAGAUGACGUAUAAGGCCUGACACCUGCCCGGUGCUGGAAGGUUAAGAGGAGAUGUUAGUUUCGGCGAAGCAUUGAAUUGAAGCCCCAGUAAACGGCGGCCGUAACAAUAACGGUCCUAAGGUAGCGAAAUUCCUUGUCGGGUAAGUUCCGACCUGCACGAAUGGUGUAAUGAUCUGGGUACUGUCUCAGCCAUGAGCUCGGUGAAAUUGUAGUAUCGGUGAAGAUGCCGAUUACCCGCAACGGGACGAAAAGACCCCGUGAACCUUUACUAUAGCUUCACAUUGACAUUGGGUAAUUCAUGUGUAGGAUAGGUGGGAGACGUUGAGGCUGCAUCGCCAGGUGUAGUUUAGUCGUCCUUGAAAUACCACCCUUGAAUUAUCUGAUGUCUAACGCUUACUAGUCGUAAGCGAACAUUGUGUGGUGGGUAGUUUGACUGGGGUGGUCGCCUCCAAAAGAGUAACGGAGGCUCCUAAAGGUACCCUCAGCACGCUUGGUAACCGUGCGUAGAGUGUAAUGGCAUAAGGGUGCUUGACUGAGAGACCGACAAGUCGAUCAGGUAGGAAACUAGAGCAUAGUGAUCCGGUGGUUCCGCAUGGAAGGGCCAUCGCUCAAAGGAUAAAAGGUACUCCGGCAUAACAGGCUGAUCACUCCCAAGAGCUCACAUCGACGGAGUGGUUUGGCACCUCGAUGUCGGCUCGUCACAUCCUGGGGCUGGAGAAGGUCCCAAGGGUUGGGCUGUUCGCCCAUUAAAGUGGCACGCGAGCUGGGUUCAGAACUUCGUGAGACAGUUCGGUCUCUAUCUGUUGUGGGCGUUAGAAAUUUGAGAGGACCUGCCUCUAGUACGAGAGGACCGGGGUGGACGAACCUCUGGUGUACCUGUUGUGGCGCCAGCUGCAUCGCAGGGUAGCUAUGUUCGGAUGAGAUAAGCGCUGAAAGCAUCUAAGCACGAAACUCGCCUCAAGAUGAGAUUUCUUUUAAGGGCCGUGGAAGACGACCACGUUGAUAGGUUACAGGUGUAAAGACAGUAAUGUCAAAGCCGAGUAAUACUAAUUACCC